UACGUAGGGUGCGAGCGUUAAUCGGAAUUACUGGGCGUAAAGCGUGCGCAGGCGGUGAUGUAAGACCGAUGUGAAAUCCCCGGGCUUAACCUGGGAACUGCAUUGGUGACUGCAUUGCUGGAGUAUGGCAGAGGGGGUGGAAUUCCACGUGUAGCAGUGAAAUGCGUAGAGAUGUGGAGGAAUACCGAUGGCGAAGGCAGCCCCCUGGGAUAACACGUGACGCUCAUGCACGAAAGCGUGGGGAGCAAACAGGAUA
rnacentral:rRNA from 1 species